UCCACCUCUGGGUGGAGUCACCGCAUUCCAGCGUGCAAUCUGAACCUGUUAGCAAUUAAGCUACCGGUACUUAAGACCAGCGCUUCGCCAGAUCUUCAGCUAACCUCUUCCUCCAUCCGAUCUCCACGCUCUGACUCUGACAGUACUCAUCUUCAUUUGGUUUAACGGAAGAGCUCAUGCUCACUUCUCCUACCUGCCUGCCUCCCUGCCACAGUUACUGAAUACCACGGAUCAUCACUGGCUGGAACCAUCACCGCUGCACUCGCUCCACUUACCCCUCUCAUGCCAGUCCUUCACCUGCAAUAAUGACUCAAAGGCUCCUGGUUUCGUUCCCCGGCCUGACUCCCCUUUUCCCCACGCCACAGACUUUCAUGUGUAUAUAGUUUCCUAGUACUCCACGUUUA